CCUACGGGUGGCAGCAGUGAGGAAUAUUGGUCAAUGGCCGGAAGGCUGAACCAGCCAAGCCGCGUGAAGGACGAAGGUGCCAAGCAUUGUAAACUUCUUUUGUCAAGGGACAACAUCAGGCUCGAGAGCCUGACCGAGGGUACUUGAAGAAAAAGCAUCGGCUAACUCCGUGCCAGCAGCCGGGGUAAUCCGGAGGGUGCGGGCGUUAAUCGGAAUUACUGGGCGUAAAGCGCUCGUAGGCGGUAUGUCAAGUCAAGGGUGAAAUCCCCGCGCGCAACGUGGGAAGUGCCGUUGAAACUGGAAAACUGGAGUGUUUGAGAGGAUAGUGGAAUUCCAGGUGUAGGGGUGAAAUCCGGAGAUAUCAGGAGGAACAUCAGUGGCGAAGG
rnacentral:rRNA from 1 species